UGGUUUUGUCACUGAAUUCGAAAUGUAAUUGUUUAGUAUGCUGGUAGAGUUUUAUUACUUGAUCUGAGUAUAUUUAAUUUAAUUUAUAUUUCAAUACAGCAAAUUUAUUGUUAUCAUGGGUGGAUUUG